rnacentral:rRNA from 1 species
AACAUGUCUUUUUGAUUAUAAUUUAAAGUCUAACCUGCCCACUGAAUAAUUUGAAGGGCCGCGGUAUUUUGACUGUGCAAAGGUAGCAUAAUCAUUAGUCUUUUAAUUGAAGGCUUGUAUGAAUGGUUGGAUGAGGUAUUAACUGUCUCAAUUUAAUAAAUUAAAGAAUUUUAUUUUUAAGUUAAAAAGCUUAAAUUUUAUUGGAGGACGAGAAGACCCUAUAGAUCUUUAUAAUUAAAUUAAUAAUAAUUUUGUUGAAUAAAUUUAUUGUUAUUAAUUAAAUUAUUUUAUUGGGGUGAUAAAAAAAUUUAAUAAACUUUUUUUAAAAAAAAACAAUUAUAUUUGAAUAAUGGAUCCAUUUUUAGUGAUUAUAAGAUUAAGUUACCUUAGGGAUAACAGCGUAAUUUUUUUGGAGAGUUCAUAUCUAUAAAAAAGAUUGCGACCUCGAUGUUGAAUUAAAGGUUAAUUUUAGGUGUAGAAGUUUAAAAUUUUGGUC